UUCAGUCUUCACCAAAUAGAAAAAAAAACGAUGAUAUACAAGUUUAUAGAGGCGGGAGCGUUUCAAUGGCGUAGAUGUUUGAAGAAUGAAGAAGAUUCAGAACAGAAUUAGGGUUUGGAGAAUAAACAACAACAACAACGACAUCUAUGGAUAUAUGGUGCAAGUGAGGAUCGGAGGAGGGCGUGGAUUGUUUCCAUGGCGUUUCUCCUUCAACUCUCAUCUGAUUUGACGACCAACUUAUAAGAUCCGGGUGAUGGUUCGAAGAAUGAAUGAAGUUUCAUAACAAAAAACUUGGUCGGCGUACUCACAGUAACAACACCAAACUGAUUCUAGUCAUUGUUGGUCUUAUUCUUUGUUAUGGUUUUACGUGUUGCUGCUUGCUUCUCUAGAUUGAGAUAUAUGGUUCUGAUCGAAAACUCCUCUUCUUGCUAUCCAGCCUAUCAUCAACACUUAUGCAGCUGUAAUUCAGACUUUGGGGAGAUCAUAUAUGGUUUGAAGAAUGGAGAAGAUUCAGACUGCUCAAGGUUUGUUUCAAUCACUCAUUUAUUACAGCUGGAACUCGAGAAGGCACCAAAAGAUUCAAAGCAAAACCUUUGGAACAAAGAGGUUCUUGUCACUGCCUCAUGAGUCAUGCCAACGUUUCCACUCCGCAGAUUUUGGCAGCUCCAGAUUUGCCUACACCACAAAGAAGUACACCACAUAUUCAAGAACUUCAGGAAUUUUGAAUGGUAAGGGCUAACCAGCAUACAAAGAUAUCCUCAGUGUCUAAGCAGAUCGGGGAUAUGGUUUGAAGCAUGAAGUUUCAUAACAGAACACUAUAUCAAUGUCAUGAAACAGAUUCUAAUGAUUGAUUGUCUUUGCCUCAAUAAGUCUUCUUUGUCCACUUAAAAUUCGCCAUUCAUAAAUGGAUAUAUGGUUCACUCUCUUCUCAGCAUCAGGGAUGACCGAACAACAAUGGUCAAAUCAUCCUCUUAUUGAUCUCAUGGUUUAUAUGGUGGUAGUAUUGUUUUGGUGUGUUUGCAAGUGAAAAAUACGUUGUUUACAUGGCGCUUCCUCAACUCCCAUCUGACUUGACGAGAACUCGACUAAGAAAAGGGUAAAGAUCCGUUAAAACUAGUUAGCUACAACUCUUUCAUCACGACGCAAGCCUCAGGAAAGAACAAGUUAUUCUCCUACUGAUGCAGAGGUCAACAACAAGACCGCAGAUGCCAGUAAUCUAAGGGAUGCGAGGUUUGAGCAGAUGGUAAACAAAGAGAAUAGACCUUGCUCAACAGAAAUUUCAGGAAAGUAGAAUCUGAGGGAUUUCAUCUUAUCAAACAAUGGUAAAGGCAUGCAGAGACGUUAUUCAUCUCAGAAACUAUCCGUAAGAAAGAUUGAUCGAUCUCCUUAUUUCCUCCUCUGUCUUCAGAGUUCAGUCAAUCGACAACGAUUUUAGUUCCUAACUACACUUGAAAUCUUGUUGAUUCGUUUGAACCCAUGAGACUACGAAGCGGAAUUGAAGAUUGCCUAGACAACUACAAACUACACAACAGUGCAGUAAAGAAGGCCUUCGUAAUGGGCUUUUCUGUGACGGCCCAACCAAAAUCCAAUCAGGUAUCAUACUUUCUUCUUGAUUUUUUUUUUUUUUUUGAACUAAAGAUUUUUUUUUUUUUUUUCUUUGGUUUGGUUCCACUUCUGAUUUGAAAGGGGUUUUUCAUGUGACGUUUUGAAUUUUUUUUGUUUAAAAUAAAUUUAAGUACUGAAUUUAAAUACAUCGAAAAGAAACCAAAUUUAGCAUCCAAUCAUCUUUAAGUAUUAACAAGUUUAGCAUCCUAUCUUUAAGAGGAUUUAAGGUUAAGAUUUACCAAAGAAAAUAUGUUAUAUAAGAUACUCUCUUUGGUAAAUCUUACCUUUAAAUCCUCCCAAUAAUGUU